AGGUGCGGACGCCGCCGGUUGUCCUCUUCGCUGCUCCGUAGUGACGGGGAUUGUUGUGUUGCAGAAAUCCGGCAAUCGACCUGAGGACUUGCGAGCCGCUCAGCUCCCGGGACGUUUGGAGCUGCUGCUAAAUAAUUUCUGCUCAGCCAUGUCGCCGGCUCCAGAUGCAGCCCCGGCUCCUGCGUCGAUCUCCCUGUUUGACCUCAGCGCGGAUGCUCCGGUCUUUCAGGGCCUGAGCCUGGUGAGCCACGCGCCUGGGGAGGCUCUGGCCCGGGCUCCGCGUACUUCCUGUUCAGGUAUCCUGGAAGGUUUCGUGUGAAACGUGACAGGGCUCCUUACAGCGUAUUGCCCGUUCAGGGAACACAUUCUUAUUGGUAUUCCCGAGCUUAGGAGGCCAAUUGAUUUAUCUUUCUGCUUGAUUAAAUUCACUUAAUCUCUGGGUAAUGUCCAGCACAGCCCUUGUUUUCAAACAAGUCUUUUUGCCAUUGCAUGUAUCUCCUCACGUUAACACCAUUCCCUUCAAAAACACUUUAAACUUUGUAGAGAUAAAAUUCUCAGAUGUAUUCCACAUUUAACCAGGCCCCACUCAAAUUAUUCCUUUUUGCUGAAUAUGAAACAAUUUAUUAUUUGUUUCGUAUAGCUUUAUU
rnacentral:lncRNA from 1 species